AUCGCUUCUCGGCCUUUUGGCUAAGAUCAAGUGUAGUAUCAUAUGUAUUCUUGAUUUAGAAAGAGGAAUCUUUGGAUUGUAAUUUAUAUUACUGUUUACAAUUCAAAAAAGGAUUA
rnacentral:snRNA from 1 species